UGCCAGCCGCCGCGGUAAUACGUAGACCUCGAGCGUUAUCCGGAUUUAUUGGGCGUAAAGCGUGUGUAGGGGGCACAGUAAGUCAAUUGUUAAAUCUUGGAGCUCAACUUCAAGUCAGCAGUCGAAACUACUGAGCUAGAGGAUGUUAGAGGUGUGUGGAACACAUGGUGUAGGGGUGGAAUCCGUUGAUAUCAUGUGGAACACCAAAGGCGAAGGCAGCACACUGGGGCAUUCCUGACCCUGAGACACGAAAGCGUGGGGAGCGAAGAGGAUUAGAUA
rnacentral:rRNA from 1 species